CUUCCUUUCCUUUCCUUCCCUUCCCUCCCUCUCUCCCUCCCUCCCUCCAGAAGGAUGCUGCCGGGGUUGGAUUUAUCUCGCUCCGCUCUCCAUCCCUCCCCGCUCCUUCCGUUUGGGAUCCGGCGCGCCGCAACCCCUCUUCUUGAUUCGCAUCGCUCCAGGCUGCGUCCCCCCUCCCUUCGGCAUCCCGGGGCGGUCAGAACGACCUUACCCACAGGCCGGGAGUUAGAAUCAUCAAACCACAGCAUCAUAGAAUCAUCACGGCUGGAAAAGACCUCCAAGAUCAAAUCCAACCCCAGCCCAUCCCACCGUGCCCACUGACCGUGUCCUUCAGUGCCACAUCUCCACGGUGACUCCAUCACUCCCAUGGGCAGCUGUGCCAAUGCAUCCCCUCUCCGUUAUCCACAGCUUUCCAGCCCUGGGGACUCCUUUCCAGACCAGUCAGUAUCUCCUGGUUGCUGCUGAGGUUAGGAGAGAGGAAAUUCAAGGGGUUGGGCUGCAGCAGGAAUCCUCCAGCACCUCUGCUGAACUCUGCAGACAUUUCCCCGAAGGGCACAGACAGCAUUAAGCAGAACUGCCAAGCUUUUUAAAAUAAUCGAGUGCAUUUGCGCACGAGGGGAAGUGAUACGGUGUUUGGAAUAAAAGGAACAAAGUUGGAAAAAAUACAAUAAAAAGCAAAUCAGCUUAUGGUAAUGGAGCAGACCCCUGGUUUGAGUGCAACACCGUGCGGAAGGAUGGAGAUGGCUCUUGCCGUCUUGGAUGACAAGUGGAUGGCACUGAGAUCUUGGAAGCUGAAAAUGAACCCAAUGGAAAACACUGUGGUUUCUCUGUUGUCUUCAAACCCCGAGGUCUGACUUGCUCUUAUUUUACCAGAUCGCCGUACUAUAAAUGUGUGAGCUGCUUGCUCACUAUAAAACCAAUCCCUUUGCCUUGCCCUUCCCAUCCCAGGGGGCAAACCUCUCCCAUAGCAGCAGCAAAGUCUAGUCUACCCUAUAGUCUACCCAAAGGGACUCAGCAUCGCAGCCACCCACAUACACAUCCCUCCCUAUUUUCACAGGUUAGAAGAGACCCAUUGGCUCAUUGAGGCCAACCCCUGGCUCCAACCCCAAAUUCAAACCCUAUUUCAGAUUGCUACCCCACUACUCCGCCUGGUGUCCACCUUGGCACAGCACAAAACCCAGCCUGGCCAAAACCCAGCCUGACCAAUUUUCUGUAGCUGAAAGCUGCUCGUAAACACAACCAAAGCAGCCAGCCUUAACCCAACGGAGCCCAGCCUUUGCCUGUUUCAAACCUUUGAAUUCUCUGUCUGAGACCAAGGAGUGGGAGCGCUGCCGAUAAUUAUGGGACAUCUGUCACCCGUGUGUUCCUGCUGGUUUUGUCAGGAAAUGCAGCUGACAUAAUGUGAGCAGAAGAGACCUGCUCUGGGAAGCCAUUCGGCGUGCUGGUCUCCGUCUCCAUCACCACGCUGUGCCCUGCCUGCUCUGCCUGCUGCUGGUGGAAAGGCCGGGGAACCCAAAUCUGAUGGGAAAGCCAUACCCACCGGUCCUGAGAUGGGCUCUGACCUGCAUGAGAUAUUAAAAGAAUACACAAUUUGGGGAAUCUUUGCUGUUGUUUGGGGACUGUUUUCUAGAAAUGAUGGACAUAAAAAGCCUUUUUUUUUUUUCUUUUUUUAAUUCUGAGAGCUCUCAUAAAACCCCCAUGACUUUAAGCAGUGGCAGAGGCUGCCCAGAGGUGGUGGAUGCCCCA
ensembl:lncRNA